rnacentral:rRNA from 1 species
UACGUAGGGUGCAAGCGUUAAUCGGAAUUACUGGGCGUAAAGCGUGCGCAGGCGGUGAUGUAAGACAGAUGUGAAAUCCCCGGCUCAACCUGGGAACUGCAUUUGUGACUGCAUCGCUGGAGUACGGCAGAGGGGGAUGGAAUUCCGCGUGUAGCAGUGAAAUGCGUAGAUAUGCGGAGGAACACCGAUGGCGAAGGCAAUCCCCUGGGCCUGUACUGACGCUCAUGCACGAAAGCGUGGGGAGCAAACAGG